rnacentral:rRNA from 1 species
AGAGAGAGACAUGCGCGCAUAUCAAUAAGCGGAGGAAAAGAAACUAACAAGGAUUCCCUUAGUAACGGCGAGUGAAGCGGGAAGAGCUCAAAUUUGAAAUCUUCAAGGUUUUACCUUGACGAAUUGUAGUUUAAAGAAGUGUUUUCUGCUGAAGUUUUGGUAAAAGUUCUUUGGAAUAGGACAUCAUAGAGGGUGAGAAUCCCGUAUUUGACCAUUAUUUCAGCUUUGUGAUACACUUUCAAAGAGUCGGAUUGUUUGGGAAUGCAGUCCAAAAUGGGUGGUAAAUUUCAUCUAAAGCUAAAUAUUGGCGAGAGAGCCGAUAGCGAACAAGUACCGUGAGGGAAAGAUGAAAAGAACUUUGAAAAGAGAGUUAAACAGUACGUGAAAUUGUCAAAAGGGAAGCGUUUGACACCAGUGUUGUUUUCUCGAAAAUCAAUUAAGAAUGGCUCGAUUUUGUAUUGUUGAGACCUUAAAAGCUCACUGUACAUUUUUCGUGUCUUUUUUAAUGCACUUUUCGUUUAACAAGUCAACAUCAGUUUCUUUUGUUGUAAAAGGGUCAUUGGAAGGUGGCUUUCUUUUCGGAGAAAGUGUUUAUAGCCUUUGGCCUCUGCAAUCGGAGAGACUGAGGUCUGCAGCGUAGACUCUUCGGGGUUAGAUACAUUUGUGCUAAGUUAUAGCUUUUUAUAGACAACUUGUUGACUAUAAUUAGUCUUGUAGCUUACUCGCUUAUGCUAUUUUACCUACGCUUAGGAUGUUGAGUCGUAGAGCACGCAG